UACAGAGGAGCCAAGCGUUGUCCGGAUUGACUGGGCGUAAAGCGCACGCAGGCGGAUGCGCGCGUGGGGUGUGAAAUCUGGCCGCUUAACGGCCAGGCGCCAUCCCAUACGGCGCGUCUGGAGUGAUGCAGAGGUCGGUGGAAUUGCCGGUGUAGUGGUGAAAUGCGUAGAGAUCGGCAGGAACACCGGUGGCGAAGGCGACUACCUGGACAGAAACUGACGCUGAGUGCACGAAAGCUAGGGGAGCAAACAGG
rnacentral:rRNA from 1 species